GCUGGGCGUGGUGGCGGGCGCCUGUAAUCCCAGCUACUUGGGAGGCUGAGGCAGAAGAAUUGCUUGAACCUAGGAGGUGGAGGUUGCAGUGAGCUGAGAUUGUGCCAUUGCAUUCCAGCCUGGGUGACAGGGUGAGACUCUGUCUCAA
rnacentral:SRP_RNA from 1 species